GUCGCUUCUUGAUCUUUUGGCUAAGAUCAAGUGUAGUAUCUGUUCUUAUCAGUUUAAAAUUGAUGAUUUGCCAGGGUUUUUGUAAAUCUAUACCAUUC
rnacentral:snRNA from 1 species